UACAGAGGUCCCAAGCGUUGUUCGGAUUUAUUGGGCGUAAAGGGUGCGUAGGCGGUUGCCUCAGUCUGGUGUGAAAUCUCGGGGCUCAACCUCGAAACUGCACUCGAUACUGGGUAACUUGAGUACUGGAGGGGAGACUGGAAUUUACGGUGUAGCAGUGAAAUGCGUAGAUAUCGUAAGGAAGACCAGUGGCGAAGGCGAGUCUCUGGACAGUUACUGACGCUGAGGCACGAAGGCCAGGGGAGCAAACGGG
rnacentral:rRNA from 1 species